rnacentral:rRNA from 1 species
GGUUAAGCGACUAAGCGUACACGGUGGAUGCCUAGGCAAUCAGAGGCGAUGAAGGACGUGCUAAUCUGCGAUAAGCGUCGGUAAGGUGAUAUGAACCGUUACAACCGACGAUUUCCGAAUGGGGAAACCCAGUGCAAUUCGUUGCACUAUCGUUUGAUGAAUACAUAGUCAAACGAAGCGAACCGGGGGAACUGAAACAUCUCAGUACCCCGAGGAAAAGAAAUCAACCGAGAUUCCCCUAGUAGCGGCGAGCGAACGGGGAGCAGCCCAGAGUCUUAAUCAGCAUUAGCAUCAGGAGAACGGUCUGGAAAGUCCGGCAGUAAAGGGUGAUAGCCCCGUAUCCGAAGGUGUUAGUGUUGUGAACUCGACGAGUAGGGCGGGACACGUGUUAUCCUGUCUGAAUAUGGGGGGACCAUCCUCCAAGGCUAAAUACUCCUGAUUGACCGAUAGUGAACCAGUACCGUGAGGGAAAGGCGAAAAGAACCCCGGCGAGGGGAGUGAAAUAGAACCUGAAACCGUGUACGUACAAGCAGUGGGAGCCCCAUCACACAAGUGCCANNNNNNNNNNNNNNNNNNNNNNNNNNNNNNNCCGAGUCUUAACUGGGCGAAUAAGUUGCAGGGUAUAGACCCGAAACCCGGUGAUCUAGCCAUGGGCAGGUUGAAGGUUGGGUAACACUAACUGGAGGACCGAACCGACUAAUGUUGAAAAAUUAGCGGAUGACUUGUGGCUGGGGGUGAAAGGCCAAUCAAACCGGGAGAUAGCUGGUUCUCCCCGAAAGCUAUUUAGGUAGCGCCUCGUGAACUCAUCUUCGGGGGUAGAGCACUGUUUCGACUAGGGGGUCAUCCCGACUUACCAACUCGAUGCAAACUACGAAUACCGAAGAAUGUUAUCACGGGAGACACACGGCGGGUGCUAACGUUCGUCGUGAAGAGGGAAACAACCCAGACCGCCAGCUAAGGUCCCAAAGUCAUAGUUAAGUGGGAAACGAAGUGGGAAGGCUCAGACAGCCAGGAUGUUGGCUUAGAAGCAGCCAUCAUUUAAAGAAAGCGUAAUAGCUCACUGGUCGAGUCGGCCUGCGCGGAAGAUGUAACGGGGCUAAACUAUGCACCGAAGCUGCGGCAGCGAUAUGUAAAUAUUGUUGGGUAGGGGAGCGUUCUGUAAGCCUGUGAAGGUGUGCUGUGAGGCAUGCUGGAGGUAUCAGAAGUGCGAAUGCUGACAUAAGUAACGAUAAUGCGGGUGAAAAACCCGCACGCCGGAAGACCAAGGGUUCCUGUCCAACGUUAAUCGGGGCAGGGUGAGUCGACCCCUAAGGCGAGGCAGAAAUGCGUAGUCGAUGGGAAACGGGUUAAUAUUCCCGUACUGGUGAUAAUUGCGAUGGGGGGACGGAGAAGGCUAGGCUAUCCGGGCGACGGUUGUCCCGGUUUAAGGAUGUAGGCAGGUGAAUUAGGCAAAUCCGGUUCACUAUAUGCUGAGGUCCGACGACGAGUCACUACGGUGAUGAAGUAGCUCAUGCCCCGCUUCCAGGAAAAGCCUCUAAGCUCUAGAUUAUCAUUAAUCGUACCCCAAACCGACACAGGUGGUCAGGUAGAGAAUACUCAGGCGCUUGAGAGAACUCGGGUGAAGGAACUAGGCAAAAUGGUGCCGUAACUUCGGGAGAAGGCACGCUGGCAUUAGGUGAAGUGAUUUACUCAUGGAGCUGAAGCCAGUCGCAGAUACCAGCUGGCUGCAACUGUUUAUUAAAAACACAGCACUGUGCAAACACGAAAGUGGACGUAUACGGUGUGACGCCUGCCCGGUGCUGGAAGGUUAAUUGAUGGGGUUAUCCGUAAGGAGAAGCUCUUGAUCGAAGCCCCAGUAAACGGCGGCCGUAACUAUAACGGUCCUAAGGUAGCGAAAUUCCUUGUCGGGUAAGUUCCGACCUGCACGAAUGGCGUAAUGAUGGCCAGGCUGUCUCCACCCGAGACUCAGUGAAAUUGAACUCGCUGUGAAGAUGCAGUGUACCCGCGGCAAGACGGAAAGACCCCGUGAACCUUUACUAUAGCUUGACACUGAACAUUGAGCCUUGAUGUGUAGGAUAGGUGGGAGGCUUUGAAGCGUGGACGCCAGUCUGCGUGGAGCCAACCUUGAAAUACCACCCUUUAAUGUUUGAUGUUCUAACGUUGCCCCAUUAUCUGGGGUGCGGACAGUGUCUGGUGGGUAGUUUGACUGGGGCGGUCUCCUCCCAAAGAGUAACGGAGGAGCACGAAGGUUGGCUAAGCAUGGUCGGACAUCAUGCGGUUAGUGCAAAGGCAUAAGCCAGCUUGACUGCGAGAGUGACGGCUCGAGCAGGUACGAAAGUAGGUCUUAGUGAUCCGGUGGUUCUGAAUGGAAGGGCCAUCGCUCAACGGAUAAAAGGUACUCCGGGGAUAACAGGCUGAUACCGCCCAAGAGUUCAUAUCGACGGCGGUGUUUGGCACCUCGAUGUCGGCUCAUCACAUCCUGGGGCUGAAGUAGGUCCCAAGGGUACGGCUGUUCGCCGUUUAAAGUGGUACGCGAGCUGGGUUUAGAACGUCGUGAGACAGUUCGGUCCCUAUCUGCCGUGGGCGUUGGAAGAUUGAAAGGGGCUGCUCCUAGUACGAGAGGACCGGAGUGGACGCACCACUGGUGUUCGGGUUGUCAUGCCAAUGGCAUUGCCCGGUAGCUAAGUGCGGAAGAGAUAACCGCUGAAAGCAUCUAAGCGGGAAACUUGCCUUGAGAUGAGUCUUCCCUGACCCUUUAAGGGUCCUAAAGGAACGUUUAAGACUAAGACGUUGAUAGGUUGGGUGUGUAAGCGUAGCGAUACGUUGAGCUAACCAAUACUAAUGAACCGUGAGGCUUAACCUG